UAACAUUUGUUUAAACAUAUUUUUUUAAAUAUUUUUACCCUGGAAAUUAUAGAAUAAAAAAAAUAUAUAUAUAAAUUUUUGUUAGUAAAAAUCAUGUUUUUAAUAUUUUAUCUUCAAAUAAUCUUAGGAGUCCUUCAUUCUUACGCAAAUUUUGUGAUAUAUACCGGAAAUUCGUGCACUUAAGCAUGAUACAUCACACAGUAAGUAAAGUAAGAGUUGUCAGAUGUUUGAUAUUUAACGCAAUAAUUAAUUAAUGAUUUGUGUACAUGUAUGCUAAAAUUAAAAAUUAAUUAUAACAAUGGUAUAUGUAGAAUCAUAUAAAUAUUGAGGACUUGGUUAGAUGGCGCGAUGGUGUGUGGAUGAGGAUGGAGAUAGUGUGAGGCUGAGUAUGAGUGUUUGUAGUAUAUUAGGAAGUAUUAGAAAGUAAAGAGGUACGAAUUAGAGAGAUAAGAAGGCAGAGAAGAUGGGUAAUUGGAGGCGGAUGUAGGGGCAAAGGAAUUGAGGAGAUAUUAUGAGACAUAGGCGGAAGGAACAGGAAUAGGUUAGGGCGGACAAUGAGGCGGGAGAAUCCGGGAGGGCCGGUAAGGUAGGAAUUAAACAUGGAAGGUAAGGAAAAUAAAAAGGGUAAAGAGAAAGAGUGUAAGGAGAAUAGGUUAGAGGAACAAAAGGUUAGAAAUAAAGGCAGAAACAGCUAUAGGAAAGAAAAGGCGAUAAGUAAUGCAAGGAAUUAGGCAGAAUGGUUUAUGGAGAAUGAGUGACAUAUGGUACAUGAGAGAAUGAAUGAAUGAAAGGAAAGGAGAUUGGAAGGAAUGUAAGGAGACGGUGAGAAGAGUGAUAUUAUAGGAAAGAAGUAGCAAAAGAAAUUAGAAAUUAGAACGUAAGUUAGGUAAUAGGAUCAGAUAUAGACAUAAAUAUAGAUAUUGUAAUUGUAAAAGUAAAAGUAAACGUAGAGGAAAAGGAAAUGGAAAGGUAUAGUUGAAUUGUAUAAGUAAUUAGUUAAUUGAGGACCCUGGAUGGCUUGGAAGAAGGAGACCGAGGGAACUCUGAUCACCGGCCGUUGGAGACUAAGGUUAAGAAACAUAAAGGAUGGAGAAAAAGGUACAGGAGACUGAGGUUAUGAAGCAUAAAGGAUAGAAAAAGUGGUAUAGGGAGAAAAAGAAAAAGGAAAAAGGAAAAGGAACUAGAAUAAAUAUAUAGGAUAAGGAGGCGACAGAGGGGAGAAGAAGAAACGGAGCCGGAUCUUUUGCCUUUGGAGACUGUACGUACAGAGGUUGAAGAAGGAUAGUAUGGAAUAAGACAACAGAGGUGGAUGCAGAAGAGACGGAAGAGCGCCGUGGAUCUCCCUUGCAGCAACAAGUUCACACUGUGGGUAAUUCUUGUCACGUUGUACUGGAACGAUCCCAUAAGAUGCGUAAUUUCUGAAAUUCUGCAUUUCUGCGUGGAGAUAUUAAGUAAUCUCUGUAAGGCUGGGUGAAAAGGAGGCUACAAGGAUUAUUAAGGAUUAUUAAAGAUAUUUGGUAUAGGAAGCAGGAAAGAAAAGAAAGGAGAGAAAAAAAGGGGGAAAGAAGAACCGAGAAGAAGGAAAGGAGGAACCAAGGAAUGGAGUUACAAAGAAAGAAGGUUGUAAGGAUACACGGAAGAAGAAUGUAAAUUAGGAGUUAAGAUAGAAACAGAAUUUGGCAUAAGCCUAGGUAUAGAUAUAGGAAGGAGGACGGUGUGGUGCUGGGGUUCGUUCGGGUGGACAGACUUGCUGUAUAUGGUACGGUGUUUGUUUGUCUGGGCGGAUUGUUGCGCCAUGCUGUACCUAGGAUAGGUAAAUGAAAAAAGUAUAGGAAGGUAUAGUUAGCACCGUGAGCGCAAAGAAAGGAAAGAAACGCGCAUAAGAUAGUAGGGUAGGUAGGCAGCGGUCGCGAGGCGAAAGUAUGGGUUAUGGAUGGAUGCGUGUGGUAAGGAACUCAUUGUAAACCAAGUCCCUUCUUGGCAUAUAAAAUAAGCCGAAGUAAUAAAUAUCUAUCUAUCAUAUAAAUAUUGAAAAUAAAAUUAAUGUUUCAGAAUA